GACGAACGCUGGCGGCGGGCUUAACACAUGCAAGUCGAAGGGAAGGGCCCUGGUUUUGUGGGGUGCUCGAGUGGGAAAGGGGUGCGUAACACGUGAGUAACCUGCCCUUGCCUUUGGGAUAACUUCAGGAAACUGGGGCUAAUACCGGAUAGGAGCUCCUGCUGCUUGGGGGGGGUGGGAAAGUUUCGGCGGUUGGGGAUGGACUCGCGGCUUAUCAGCUUGUUGGUGGGGUGGUGGCUUACCAGGGCUUUGACGGGUAGCCGGCCUGAGAGGGUGACCGGCAACCUUGGGACUGAGAUACGGCCCAGACUCGUACGGGAGGCAGCAGUGGGGAAUAUUGCACAAUGGGCGGAAGCCUGAUGCAGCAACGCCGCGUGCGGGAUUACGACCUUCGGGUUGUAAACCGCUUUCGCCUGUGACGAAGCGUGAGUGACGGUAAUGGGUAAAGAAGCACCGGCUAACUACGUG
rnacentral:rRNA from 1 species